GUUCAGAAAGGACAGAGGUCAGUAGAAGAUGGAAAAGAAAGCCUUGUGUCUCAUUGCCACAAUUUUCACGAAAUGGUCGGAAAUCUGGGACUGAAAUUGCCAUCGAUCUGUUAUGGAAUGCAUUUGCCAGAAAACGGGUGGUGAGAGAUUUGCUCCAGCAGUGAACGCGUCUUCCGUCCUAAACAAUGUAAGGAGAUCUUGGCAGUGACUCAACCGUACACGAGAAGAUUGGAUAUGCUCUCCAUCAAUGACGUCAGACUCGUGUUCCACAGCGGCUGCAUCCAUGUCAAGAUUACAUGUCGCAUAUCAGAGUUUGUCCGCUAGUAAAUUUGCAGGGUUUAAACUUAAUAUAAAGUGUUAUAUUUACUUUGGGUUGUGAAUCGGCUGUAGUUAUUUUCAAACUAUUACAAAGUAGUGUUCAGGAAGAGUAUUUUGCUACACGUACAUAGUGUAGUGGUAUAUUUCCGUGUAGGUGUGGCAACAUAAACAACAAGCACAUGUAGGAUGACCGGUUUUCUUUUUGAUAGUAACAUAUUUGUGAGGGAAAUCUGCAAUUUGGCACUUCUCCGUGAACAGUUAUUUAUUUAAAAUUGAAUUCUAGUAUUUAUUUUGGCGAUGUUAACUUUUGGAAAGAAAGAAAACGUCCCAACCGUGUAAAUUGCAUUUAUGGAAGUCUCUGGAAGUUAUAGUGUGUUCAGUUGAAGAAAAAAAGAACGAGAUGUGCAUCCACCAAAAAUAAAUAAAUCGCUGUAAUUUAGAUAAUAAUGUUUCAGAAAUUGCAGCAUUAUCAAACUGGCAGAAUGUGUUGUUAGUAUUGCAGAGCUGUCCACACGUAUUGAAACGAUCUUUCUUAAGUUUGAAUGUGCGAUUGUGACGCAUAUAAAUAAACUUCGUAUUUCUUGUGUUAGAUGUGACGGUCCAUAUUUUCAGUGAUGGUAGGGGGUCAAAAGUCACCCUGGCUUUAGAAACGAAACCAAGGAGUUGAAAUUUUCCCGAAAUUAAAAUGCAUUUGUUAUUGUAGUAGUGGUAGGUUAAAAAGGAAAAUUGUUGAAUUAUAGAAAAUGAUUCAUUUCGAAAUAUCAUCUUCAUUAAGGGGUCUAUGUAGGACUGGCAUUCAUAAGCAACUUUCACAUUCUGAAUUUUCGACAAAUUCUUGACAAAUUCGAAUCGACCACUUGAGCUGUCACAAAGCCGAUUAUUCAGAAUAAUGAUUACUCAGUGAAGUUUUUAAGACUGCCAAUUUCUGUUAAUACUCUCAAAAUAGUAUGUGAUACAACUAGAGCAAAUUUUAUGGAAAAGUUUGUGGUAGAAAUAAGCUAGAAAAUUGGUUAUGUCUUACAUGUAUGACGUUUCUGAUUCGCAUGCUGUACAAAUUUCAGUUUUCCAUCAAAGUUGUGUCAUGAAAUGCAUAUUUUAGGAAUUCGUAUGAAAAAGAAACACGUUUGGUUUGGACAUGACAACAUUUAUCGAUGAACUAAACAACCAGGAAUCUUACAAAAUUUGAUUAUUUUGACUCCCUAUUAUUGUUUUGUGAACAUCAGCAAGACGACAUAGUGCUUGCAUGUGGGUACAUGUGUCGGGAUAGGAUGAGGUUAUAUGCAUAUUGAAUUUUCUAUAUCGAUCACACCAGUGAAUUUAGACAAACAUUGGUAAUGUUUUGGUUUUUUUUUUAUUUAUUUAUUUUGUUAAUAUUGUUGGUAUUAUGUCUAUAAUAAUAUUCCUGAACUCCUUUAUAAAUCAAAAAGCUACGCCGGCCAAGUAGAAAUUUUCAAAAUGCAUAGAAUCUUGACACGUUUUAGUUAGAUAAAGAACCAUUUUUGUUUGUGUGUAAAAGCUUAAU